rnacentral:rRNA from 1 species
ACUCCUACGGGAGGCAGCAGUGGGGAAUAUUGCACAAUGGACGCAAGUCUGAUGCAGCCAUACCGCGUGUGUGAAGAAGGCCCGAGGGUUGUAAAGCACUUUCAGUAGGGAGGAAGAUAAUAGUAUUAAUACUGCUAUUGUUUGACGUUACCUACAGAAGAAGCACCGGCUAACUCUGUGCCAGCAGCCGCGGUAAUACGGAGGGUGCGAGCGUUAAUCGGAAUUACUGGGCGUAAAGCGUACGUAGGCGGUUCGUUAAGUUAGAUGUGAAAGCCCCGGGCUUAACCUGGGAACUGCAUUUAAAACUGGCGAACUAGAGUUGAGUAGAGGGGAGUGGAAUUUCAGGUGUAGCGGUGAAAUGCGUAGAGAUCUGAAGGAACACCAGUGGCGAAGGCGACUCCCUGGACUCGAACUGACGCUGAGGUACGAAAGCGUGGGUAGCAAACGGGAUUAGAUACCCCGGUAGUCCACGCCGUAAACGAUGUCAACUAACUGUUGGGACCUUAGAGGUCUUAGUGGUGGAGCUAACGUAUUAAGUUGACCGCCUGGGGAGUACGGCCGCAAGGCUAAAACUCAAAUGAAUUGACGGGGGCCCGCACAAGCGGUGGAGCAUGUGGUUUAAUUCGAUGCAACGCGAAGAACCUUACCUACCCUUGACAUCCUAAGAAUCUGUUAGAGAUAACUGAGUGCCUUCGGGAACUUAGAGACAGGUGCUGCAUGGCUGUCGUCAGCUCGUGUCGUGAGAUGUUGGGUUAAGUCCCGUAACGAGCGCAACCCUUAUCCUUAGUUGCCAGCACAUAAUGGUGGGAACUCUAGGGAGACUGCCGGUGAUAAACCGGAGGAAGGUGGGGACGACGUCAGUCAUCAUGGCCCUUAUGGGUAGGGCUACAC